rnacentral:lncRNA from 1 species
AAUUUCUGUUCUUAUCCUGAAGCAAAGUUCUUAACCUGAAACACUAUUUCUGGGUUAGCGGAGUCUGUAACCUGAAGCGUAUGUAACCUGAAGCAUAUGUAACCCAAGGUACCACUGUAAAAGAAAAGUUCCGUACUCAAUGCAUUGGCCCUCUGUUUACUAUACCUGGCCUGAGCAAAGUGAAAUGUUGAGCUGACUCCUUUUCACAUGUGUCAAUAGCUCUGAAGAGGUUUUGGCUCUCCGGUUUGCAAAUCUGGCUGCCGAAGGAGCUCUUGUGAGCCAGCGGAGAUAGAACACUUGUCACAGAUGUGAUAAAGAAUUGGUGGUAAAUCCUCCACCUUUGUGUCAGGCUUUGGCAAGUGUUGAGGAUUGCCUUCUCUGCUCUAUGACGUGUGGGUGUUUUUCUUUCUUUCUUUAAAGGUUUAAAUCCUAUGAUAUGGAAGCAAUUACCAAAUGCUAAAAAGGGAAAUGGAAAGCAGAAAAUGCCUGCUCUUACUCUUCCUAUUUGAAUCUGGAUCGAAUUGUACUUUUUGAAAUUGUGAAUCAAACCUUUAGUCCAUCAGCUUGAUUAGGAUCAAAAUAUAAUACAGUGGUACCUCGGGUUAAGUACUUAAUUCGUUCCGGAGGUCUGUUCUUAACCUGAAACUGUUCUUAACCUGAAGCACCACUUUAGCUAAUGGGGCCUCCCACUGCUGCUGCGCCAGCAGAGCACAAUUUCUCUUCUCAUCCUGAAGCAAAGUUCUUAGCCUGAAGCACUAUUUCUGGGUUAGCGAAGUCUGUAACCUGAAGCGUAUGUAACCUGAAGCGUAUGUAACCUGAGGUACCACUGUAUUUAUGUGGGGGGCACAAACUAUUUGCAAUAUGAGCUGAUGCAGUUGUGAGGAUGCCUUAUUUAUACAAAUUGGCCACAAGCACUUGUUGAAUUAAGGUACUUCUGGGUGGGGAAAAGCUGCAGUUAUAAAUGGGGAAACUGAGGGAAAUGAGGCAACUUGGGAGUGGGUGGAGCUCUCCCCUUGCUAAAGCUGGAUCCCACUGCAGUUUCCUGCCCCACUUCCCCUAGAUAUCGCCUAAGGGUACCCACAUCCCUCAGAAGCAGCUGCAUACGCAUGCCCUCCAACAUUUCUCUGAUGAAAAUAGGGACAUCCCAUUCUAUAACGAUAAUUUUACUAUUUAUACCCCACUAAGUUGCCCCAGCCACUCUGGGCAGCUUCCAUCAUAUAUAACAACAUAAUAAAACAUUAAACAUUAAAAAAAACCUUCCCUAUACAGGAUUGCCUUCAAACUGCUCGGGGGUCGGAUAACUCCAUACCCUCCAACAUUUCUCCAAUGAAAAUAGGGACAUUCUAAGGAAAAGCGGAACAUUCCGGGAUCAAAUGAGAAACUGGGAUGGCUUCUCUAAAUCAGGGAUGUCCCUGGAAAAUAGGGACACUUGGAGAGUCUGCAAAACUUUUGACUCUUGGCUUCUGUAGAACAUGUCAAAAUCCCAGACCCCAUCUGCACUAUACAUUUAAAGCAGUGUUGUAUCACUUUAAAGAAUCAGUCCCCCUCCACAUAAUUAUUGGAAAUGUACCUGGCAACCUGGCUAUGUGAUAGGCGUGGCUUUUUGAACUAACCAAUCGCAUUACAGAUAGCUCAGUUCUGGAACAGGACAAGUGGGUGUCCUCUCCCACUGUACCAACAACAUGAAUUUUGGGUAUGCCAGCUUCUAAAAGUGGUUUCCCUUGAGAUGCAAAGUGCUUACAUGACUUCAGAGCCUCCUUGAUAAGUAAAACUGCAUUUGUCUCCUGAUCAUUUAUUUCCAGAGACACUUUAUAAUCUACUAAUACUGUCUAAAUAAAGUAUGGGGCAAUCCUUGGCUCCACGCCCUGUAGGGCUAUUUUGGCUAUCAUAUAUGACAUCAGACACAAGGCAUUUCUAACUUAUUUUCUGAAUUCUUCGAAAGGGACAGACUUGUGGCUUCCCACCAACUGCUUUUACUGGGGGGGGGGGGGCGGAAUAUGUUGUAGAGCUUUAGAGAAGGGUGACUCUUGCCCAGAUGCUUUAUGGGUUUUGGCUUUCUAUGUGUGGUUUUGUUUUGGUUUUGCCUAUCUCUCCCACAAAGCCUGGCUCAUUGUCCUGAGUCAUCUGAAGCUCUUUGAUCUCCAUGCUCCUUUUUUGAACCCUGCCUGUUCUCUCUGUCCUGUGAAUUGCAUAAGUUGCUCUCUCUACAGGCUUAGGGUGCUUGAUAGUUCUAGAUGGCUUUUUGAUCCCUUUUCUCACUAGGAAGACGACAUAAUUAAUUGAACGGACAGUGCAUUUUGGGGUGAUGCAAAAAGAGGUAGCUGGUGACUCUGCUUAUUUAUUUAUUUAUUUAUUUAAAAUAGGCAAGUAUUUGGGGGAAAGGUCCACCACUUAGCUUCUGCUCCCCUUGCCCCCACUUCCUAGAAGAUGUACUCAAAGUGCGAUUGGGGGCUUCCAGGUGGGGACUUAAUGCUGGCAACAGGUCAUUCAGAUAUGGGGCUGUGACUACACACUGCCAUUUACUCUGCAUCCAGUGUGCUCCCACUGCUGGUUUGGGAAGCAGCAUGUCAUCAGCCACAAUCCAAAUCUAUUGUGUUGUUCUUUAGAAACACUGUGUUUCCCCACAAACCAGCUUCGAUCUGAAUUGAGCAGAAGAGAAAUUCAGCUGCAUUUUAAGCUGGUAAAUGUGUACUCAGCUGAGCCUAUUGGUAACAAAAAAAUAAAUAAAGGACUUACUGGAUUUACCCCAGAAAUGGAUUAAA